UCUCCUGGGGAGCCUGGGAGCCCUGGUAGUAUGGUCUGCUUCCUUACAGCUCCAGCUACUGUGGGGCUUGUUAACCUGCCUCGUGUGUGCAUGCUCCCUUGAAUCUGACUCUUUGAGAUUCCAUAGACUGUAGCCCACCAGGCUCUUCUGUCCAUGGAAUUUCUCAGGCAAGAUUAAUGGAGUGGAUUGCCAUUUCUUCCUCCAGGGGGUGUUCCCUACCCAGGGAUGGAAAUUGUGUCUCCUGCAGUGACAGGUGGAUUCUUUGUCACUGAGCCACCUGGGAAGCCCAUUUACCUGCCUAAGCCUCCACUUUCCCACCUGUGAAAUGAAGCUAGUUAUAGUAAGAAGUGAUCACAUCUGUGCGCUAGCUGGCCAGACUUGAAAGAAAUACAGACCAGACUCUUGUUGUUCAAAAUGGGUCAUAAGGAAGUGGAGACAACUUGCAACAUCAACAACACAUUUGGCCCAGGAGCUGCUAACGAAGGUACAGUGCCGCAGUGGUUCAGGAAGUUUUGUCAAGGAGACGGGAGACUUGCAGAUGAGGAGAGUAGUGGCCAUCCGUCGAAAGCUGACAAAGACCGAUUGAGAGCCAUCAUCCAGGCUGAUCAUCUUACAACUACACAAGAAAUUGCCAAAAAAAAGAAAGCAACUCAACGUCAACCCUGCUACAGUCAUUCAGCAUUUGAAGCAAAUUGGAAAGGUGAUAAAGCUCGGUAAGUGGGUGCCUCAUGAGCCGACCACAAACCAAAAAAAAUCAUCACUUUGAAGUGUCAUCUUCUUAUUCUAGGCAACAACAAUGAAUCAUUUUCCAUUGAAUUGUGAUGUGUGAUGAAAAGUGCAUUUUAUACAACAACCGGUAAUGACCAGCUUAGCUUUUGAACCAAGAAGAAGCUCCAGAGCACUUCCCAAAGCCAAACUUGCACCAAAAAAGGUCAUGGUCACUGUUUGGUGCUCUGCUGUGGUCUUAUCCACUACAGUGUUCUGAAUCCUGGUGAAACCAUUACAUCUGAGAAGUAUGCUCAGCAAAUCGAUGAGAUGCACCAAAAACUGCAGCACCUACAGCCAGCAUUGGUCAACAGAAAGUGCCCAAUUCAUCUCCACGGCAAUACCCAACCACACAUCACACAACCAAUGCAUCAAAAGUUGAAUGAA